rnacentral:rRNA from 1 species
ACGUAGGUUGCAAGCGUUGUCCGGAUUUACUGGGUGUAAAGGGCGUGUAGGCGGAGCUGCAAGUCAGAUGUGAAAUCCCGGGGCUCAACCCCGGAACUGCAUUUGAAACUGUAGCCCUUGAGUAUCGGAGAGGCAAGCGGAAUUCCUAGUGUAGCGGUGAAAUGCGUAGAUAUUAGGAGGAACACCAGUGGCGAAGGCGGCUUGCUGGACGACAACUGACGCUGAGGCGCGAAAGCGUGGGGAGCAAACAGG